UACAGAGGUCUCAAGCGUUGUUCGGAUUCAUUGGGCGUAAAGGGCGCGUAGGCGGCGGGGUAAGUCGGGUGUGAAAUCUCAGAGCUCAACUCUGAAAUGGCACUUGAUACUGCUCUGCUAGAGGAGUGGAGAGGAGAUUGGAAUUCACGGUGUAGCAGUGAAAUGCGUAGAUAUCGUGAGGAAGACCGGUGGCGAAGGCGGAUCUCUGGACAGUUCCUGACGCUGAGGCGCGAAGGCCAGGGGAGCGAAACGGGG
rnacentral:rRNA from 1 species